UACGUAGGGGGGCAAGCGUUGUCCGGAUUUACUGGGCGUAAAGAGCGUGUAGGCGGCCAAGCAGGUCCGUUGUGAAAACUGGAGGCUUAACCUCCAGACGUCGACGGAAACCGCGUGGCUAGAGUCCGGAAGAGGCGAGUGGAAUUCCUGGUGUAGCGGUGGAAUGCGCAGAUAUCAGGAGGAACACCGAUGGCGAAGGCAGCUCGCUGGGACGGUACUGACGCUGAGGCGCGAAGCGUGGGGAGCGAACAGG
rnacentral:rRNA from 1 species